rnacentral:rRNA from 1 species
AAUCGCUAGUAAUCGCGGAUCAGAAUGCCGCGGUGAAUACGUUCCCGGGUCUUGUACACACCGCCCGUCACACCAUGGGAGUCGGGAAUGCCCGAAGCCGGUGACCCAACCCCUGGUGGACAUGAAAGACGUGAUGGCAGAAGGAAGUUCUGGCAUACACGAAAGAAGAAUACGCCACGGAAGUGGAGAGAGUCGUGUCCAGCAGGGGGAGGGAGCCGUCGAAGGCAGAUUCGAUAACUGGGGUGAAGUCGUAACAAGGUAAC